rnacentral:rRNA from 1 species
GACGAACGCUGGCGGCGUGCUUAACACAUGCAAGUCGAGCGGUAAGGCCCUUUCGGGGUACACGAGCGGCGAACGGGUGAGUAACACGUGGGUGACCUGCCCUCAGCUCUGGGAUAAGCCUGGGAAACCGGGUCUAAUACUGGAUAUGACUCCAUGACGCAUGUUGUGGGGUGGAAAGCCUUGUGCGGCUGAGGAUGGGCCCGCGGCCUAUCAGCUUGUUGGUGGGGUGAUGGCCUACCAAGGCGACGACGGGUAGCCGGCCUGAGAGGGCGACCGGCCACACUGGGACUGAGACACGGCCCAGACUCCUACGGGAGGCAGGCAGUGGGGAAUCUUGCGCAAUGGGCGAAAGCCUGACGCAGCGACGCCGCGUGAGGGAUGACGGCCCUCGGGUUGUAAACCUCUUUCAGCUCCGACGAAGCGAGAGUGACGGUAGGAGCAGAAGAAGCA